UGUGUAGGUGGCUACGUAAGUCAGGUGUGAAAGCCCCGGGCUCAACCCGGGAAGUGCAUCUGAUACUGCGUAGCUUGAGUACCGAAGAGGAUAGUGGAAUUCCAGGUGUAGUGGUGAAAUACGUAGAUAUCUGGAGGAACACCGGUGGCGAAGGCGGCUAUCUGGUCGAGUACUGACACUGAGACACGAAAGCAUGGGGAUCAAACA
rnacentral:rRNA from 1 species